rnacentral:rRNA from 1 species
GACGAACGCUGGCGGCGUGCUUAACACAUGCAAGUCGAACGGAAAGGCCCUGCUUUUGUGGGGUGCUCGAGUGGCGAACGGGUGAGUAACACGUGAGUAACCUGCCCUUGACUUUGGGAUAACUUCAGGAAACUGGGGCUAAUACCGGAUAGGAGCUCCUGCUGCAUGGUGGGGGUUGGAAAGUUUCGGCGGUUGGGGAUGGACUCGCGGCUUAUCAGCUUGUUGGUGGGGUAGUGGCUUACCAAGGCUUUGACGGGUAGCCGGCCUGAGAGGGUGACCGGCCACAUUGGGACUGAGAUACGGACCAGACUCCUACGGGAGGCAGCAGUGGGAAAUAUUGCACAAUGGGCGGAAGCCUGAGGCAGCAACGCCGCGUGCGGGAUGACGGCCUUCGGGUUGUGAACCGCUUUCGCCUGUGACGAAGAGUGAGUGACGGUAAUGGGUAAAGAAGCACCGGCUAACUACGUG